UAGAAGCACAGCGAGGUCAGGGCCAUUGCUUACCCCGUGUUUUGUCACUGCCUUGUAGAGAGACAGGUGGGUCUGUGUCUUUACCCUGAGGAUCCUCAUAGCCUCUGUUCAGAAAGAGCCCUGCCCCUCUGAUCACUGCUGCCCACUCAGUGGCUCCGUAGCUGCCCCAAAUUUUCAGCAGCCAGCAGAUCAUGGUGUCACUCUUAUGUCCUUUUUACUGCAUUUACAUAAAAAGAAGAGGCUGAGAAAUGGAGGAACUUUGGGGGGAAAAAAAGAAGAGCUGCUAACUGCAGAAAGUGACGUCAGUCCAGGUGGUAAUGGUGCAGCCCCAGGAGGGGCAGGAUCAAAUGUUGCUCAGGAUGAUGUUUGGCUUUCACUAACCACCUUUCAUCUGGAGCAUCUCCUAGCACUUUACAGGAGAUUGUUAAUUAGGCUUCCUGAGGCUUCGGGCAGGAACAUGCAUCACAGACUGCACUUACGUCCAUGACUAUGUAAGAAGAAAUGCUCAAGGACUAAUUACUUUGCAUUUGUAUUUAUCAUCUCCUUUCACACGGGAUCUUAAAGCAAUUUCCCAAGGGAAUUUGCAAUUGGACAAUUCUCUUCCUCUGCUACUGGAUUCUCUUCCUCUGGAUCACCCAAAAGAAGAAAACAUGGCAGAGACACUGAGCCAGAGACAGCUGCUGACUUGAUGUUCCCAGAUGUUCUAAAUUCUACUUUAGCCACCUCAAGAGUGACCACAUUUUUCUAAGUCUGCAGUUGUAGCAAUCAGGUUAGUGCAUGCUGCAGAAUUUCAGAACCCUAGGGGAACCUGAACGAGAGCAACAGAGCCCUCUUUCAUCAUCAGGUGGAUGUUAGCAAGGAAAACUGAAGCAUUUGUAUCAUCAGAGCAAUUGAUGUCAUCCAUGACCAACAAGCCACUGACUGAUCAAUGAAGAAUAGGAAGAAAACUAAGCCAUAUUUAAAACAUCUACCUCUUAGAUCCCUAGAAAAAACCCUUGAAAAAACCACCAGCAAGUGCAGGGGUUUCAACCCUUCAACCACGUGGCUUCCCCUGGGCCCAUUUCUAUUCUUCUGCCACUUCCAAUCCCCACUUUCUAAUAACCAGUGCAUUUAGAGUGUUGUAUUCCAGGUACCAUAAUGCUUUCACACACCUUAUCUUACCUGUCUUCUCAUUAAAUACUGUAAGUCCACUUAUAGAAACCUCUUAUUUAAUGUUAAUCAGUGUGAUGGUUAAUACUGACUGUCAACUUGAUUGGAUUGAAGGAUACAAAGUAUUGAUCCUGGGUGUAUCUGUGAAAGUGUUGCCAAAAAGAGAUUAACAUUUGAGUCAGUUGCCUGGGGAAGGCAGAUCCACCCUUAAUCUGGUGGGCACAAUCUCAUCAGUUGCCAGCGAAUAUAAAGAAGGCCAAAAAAAAAAAAAAAAACCAUGAAAAGGAGAAACUGGCCUAGCCUCCCAGCCUACAUCUUUCUCCCAUGCUGGAUGCUUCCUGCUCUCAAACAUCAGACUUCAAGUUCUUCAGUUUUGGGACUCGGACUGGCUUACCUUGCUCCUCAGCUUGCAGACGGCCUACUGUGGGACCUUGUGAUCAUGUAAGUUAAUACUUAA
rnacentral:lncRNA from 1 species